rnacentral:rRNA from 1 species
CCUACGGGAGGCAGCAGUGAGGAAUAUUGGUCAAUGGACGAGAGUCUGAACCAGCCAAGUAGCGUGAAGGAUGACUGCCCUAUGGGUUGUAAACUUCUUUUAUAUGGGAAUAAAACGUUCCACGUGUGGGAUUUUGUAUGUACCAUAUGAAUAAGGAUCGGCUAACUCCGUGCCAGCAGCCGCGGUAAUACGGAGGAUCCGAGCGUUAUCCGGUUUUAUUGGGUUUAAAGGGAGCGUAGGUGGAUUGUUAAGUCAGUUGUGAAAGUUUGCGGCUCAACCGUAAAAUUGCAGUUGAAACUGGCAGUCUUGAGUACAGUAGAGGUGGGCGGAAUGCGUGGUGUAGCGGUGAAAUGCUUAGAUAUCACGAAGAACUCCGAUUGCGAAGGCAGUUCACUGGACUGCAACUGACACUGAGGCUCGAAAGUGUGGGUAUCAAACAGGAUUAGAUACCCUUGUAGUC